rnacentral:rRNA from 1 species
AGCAGCCGCGGUAAUUCCAGCUCCAAUAGCGUAUAUUAAAGUUGUUGCAGUUAAAAAAGCUCGUAGUUGAAUUUCGGGAUCAAAUUGUCGGUCGUGCCUCGGUACGUACUGGUAUUAUUGGUUCCUCCCUUCUGACGAACCACGAUGUCAUUAAUUUGGUGUCAUGGGAAAUCAGGACUGUUACUUUGAAAAAAUUAGAGUGUUUAAAGCAGGCUCGCGCUUGAAUACAUUAGCAUGGAAUAAUGAAAUAGGACGUUUGAUUCUAUUUUGUUGGUUUCUAGGAUCGACGUAAUGAUUAAUAGGGAUAGUUGGGGGGCAUUAGUAUUCAAUUGUCAGAGGUGAAAAUUCUUGGAUUUUAUUGAAGACUAACUACUGCGAAAAGCAAUUUGCCAAGGAUGUUUUCAUUAAUCAAGAACGAAAGUUGGGGGAUCGAAGACGAUCAGAUACCGUCGUAGUCUUAACCAUAAACUAUNACCGACUAGGGAUCGGAUGAUGUUAAUUUUUUAAUGUACUCAUUCGGCGCCUUACGGGAAACCUAAA